GUAUGCUUGAUUCAGUCACAGAGGUCCUUAUCUGCCCAUUUCUGUUUGGGUUCCAAUAAUAAAUGUUCCCUGGUUUUAAUUAAUUUGGAAUUUUAUGCUCUGUUGAACUUGAAACCUUGUAUUAAAGAUAAAACAGAUUUCUCUAUGCACUGGCAGAUUUGGCAGGUUUUUGAAGCUCUAAAAAACACCUACUUUGCCAAAGAACAAACAUCCAAUUAUUUUCUUCUUAUGACAAACUGAUCUGGCCAUAGAGUGUAUGGGGAGGUCUCCUGUUCCUAAAGUGCGCCUUCCAACAUCCUAAAAUAUCCCCAUACUAUGAAACACACAGCUGUUAUCUAUGCAUGUAAACUCCAAAGGAUACAAAUUAAAAAUGUGGUUGAUUUUCCUGAAUAAUGUUUCACUCUUGUCUAAAAUGUCAUUGAUCUGAGACUGGAAAGAGAGGGAGUAUGCAUUUUGUAGACAGCUUAAGUGUCUGUUGUUAUCACCCACAGAUGUUUAGAAAGCAGUACCAUCUGUCUCAACUUUUAUCAUUUUAGGAAAAGCUUAGAGGGUGACCAAUCCUUAAAUUGAUUUGGUCCCUGCAGAUUGGAAAACACGUCCCCAUCAUUUCUAGCAUAAAUAUGCCACAGAAACCCUUCUGAUCACUAUAGAUUAUCAGCACUAUACUAUGGUGGUUUUUAAAAAAUAUGGAAGAUUUUGCUGAGAAGCCCAUUAAUAAAGCAUUCACACAAGAACAAUAAAAGUAUAACUACAAAGAAUGCAAUGCAAAAUGUGUUGAAAUACAGUAUGUCACAUGCAUGCACAUUCUCUCAUGUUCAUUGCAUUACCCAUUCCCAUUGUGUUAUCAAAACACCAGGAUCCCAAAGAGGACCCCAAAGCCCACAGCCAUUGAAAGGUCUCAAUAGCCAAGACAACCUUUUACCCAGCAACCUAAUGGAGGCUAACCACCAUAAAUGACUCUUAGCCUGGACAUAUAAGUUUCACAAGCACUCAUACACUCACGAGGGGGGAAACAUAGGAAAAUACUAUCAUCCUUCAAUAUGCAAGCAUAAUCCUCUAACA
rnacentral:lncRNA from 1 species